GGUUCACGGCCGUUUAAAAAGACGUUUAGGUUAAAAAACAGCGUAUCCUUGUACGCAGCGUUUGAUUUUCCAACAAAACCUAGACCAGCAAUAUAAUGUCUUAACUGACGGAUGCAUCGUAAAUUUUAUACACCCUGUAUUUGAAAAUAAAUAUACAGACGACAGGGCGCAGGGUAGGGCGACACCCCCACAGUGACAUAUACGCACACAAGCGCACAACAGGGCAGAUGAGAGGGCGCUACUCUCGCUUCAGUCUCGCGCCGACCACCGUGGCGGUUGGUUGUUUCGUUUGGUGUAAUGCUACCGCUAAUAUAAACUAGUUUUGUUCCGGACCAAUCGACGAUCGUCCCCACUGUGCGACUCUGUCAAAUUAUACGUGCGUUGUGGACAUAAAAACUGUGUAUAAACUUGUGUUUUUUCAAACGUGAACGAUAGACUGUUGGGAUUGAUUUGAAGACGUUGACUUGUGUGGAAACAAAGGUUUACAUUGUCUAAAGGUGAACGAUCGUGCUUCAUUCAACGUGUUUCUACAGAUUUGUCAGAUCUAAGCGACGGGCAAGCUGGCCACCAACCAUGCAUUAGAUAUCGAUCAAACGAUAUCGAAACGGGGCAAACGAGCAUGCGGCUCACCUGAUGG
rnacentral:misc_RNA from 1 species